rnacentral:rRNA from 1 species
GCCGCGUGAGUGAUGAAGGUUUUCGGAUCGUAAAGCUCUGUUGUUAGGGAAGAACAAGUACCGUUCGAAUAGGGCGGUACCUUGACGGUACCUAACCAGAAAGCCACGGCUAACUACGUGCCAGCAGCCGCGGUAAUACGUAGGUGGCAAGCGUUGUCCGGAAUUAUUGGGCGUAAAGGGCUCGCAGGCGGUUUCUUAAGUCUGAUGUGAAAGCCCCCGGCUCAACCGGGGAGGGUCAUUGGAAACUGGGGAACUUGAGUGCAGAAGAGGAGAGUGGAAUUCCACGUGUAGCGGUGAAAUGCGUAGAGAUGUGGAGGAACACCAGUGGCGAAGGCGACUCUCUGGUCUGUAACUGACGCUGAGGAGCGAAAGCGUGGGGAGCGAACAGGAUUAGAUACCCUGGUAGUCCACGCCGUAAACGAUGAGUGCUAAGUGUUAGGGGGUUUCCGCCCCUUAGUGCUGCAGCUAACGCAUUAAGCACUCCGCCUGGGGAGUACGGUCGCAAGACUGAAACUCAAAGGAAUUGACGGGGGCCCGCACAAGCGGUGGAGCAUGUGGUUUAAUUCGAAGCAACGCGAAGAACCUUACCAGGUCUUGACAUCCUCUGACAAUCCUAGAGAUAGGACGUCCCCUUCGGGGGCAGAGUGACAGGUGGUGCAUGGUUGUCGUCAGCUCGUGUCGUGAGAUGUUGGGUUAAGUCCCGCAACGAGCGCAACCCUUGAUCUUAGUUGCCAGCAUUCAGUUGGGCACUCUAAGGUGACUGCCGGUGACAAACCGGAGGAAGGUGGGGAUGACGUCAAAUCAUCAUGCCCCUUAUGACCUGGGCUACACACGUGCUACAAUGGACAGAACAAAGGGCAGCGAAACCGCGAGGUUAAGCCAAUCCCACAAAUCUGUUCUCAGUUCGGAUCGCAGUCUGCAACUCGACUGCGUGAAGCUGGAAUCGCUAGUAAUCGCGGAUCA